UACGAAGGGGGGCUAGCGUUGCUCGGAAUCACUGGGCGUAAAAGGGUGCGUAGGCGGGUCUUUUAAGUCAGGGGUGAAAUCCUGGAGCUCAACUCCAGAACUGCCUUUGAUACUGAAGAUCUUGAGUUCGGGAGAGGUGAGUGGAACUGCGAGUGUAGAGGUGAAAUUCGUAGAUAUUCGCAAGAACACCAGUGGCGAAGGCGGCUCACUGGCCCGAUACUGACGCUGAGGCACGAAAGCGUGGGGAGCAAACAGG
rnacentral:rRNA from 1 species